rnacentral:rRNA from 1 species
GAACUUGGAGGAAUGUAUAGCUACGGCUAAUUGUGUAUAUUUACACGAUAUCGACUCUGUCGAAUAAAAUUCUGGGUAAAUUAUGAUGAUGACAUUUUUUACCUAUGUGUCUUGACCAAAUUGUGUGCCAGCAGUCGCGGUAAUACAUAGAAGACUAGUGUUAUUCAUCUUUAAUAGGUUUAAAGGGUACCUAGACGGUAGAUCAAGCCCUAGACGGGACUAAUUUGCUAGAGUUACUUAUGAGGGGGCUUUAAAGUACUAAUGGUGUAGAGAUAAAAUUUUGUAAUACCAUUUUUCGUAAAGAAAAAUUAUGGCACUGGUAAAGGUGAAAGCAUCCCCCUAUGUGAUAACUGACGUUGAAGGACGAAGGCUUUGGGUCGCGAAUAGGAUUAGAUACCCUAGUAGUCAAAGCAGAAAAUUAUGAGUGUCAUAGAUUAGAUAAUACAGUUUAUUCUAUAAAUGAAAGUGUAAGCACUCCACCUCAAGAGUAAUUUGGCAACAUUGGAACUGAAAUCAUUAGACCGUUUCUGAAACCAGUAGUGAAGUAUGUUGUUUAAUUCGAUGAUCCGCGAAAAACCUUACCACAAUUUGAAUAUGUAUACUUUUGAUAUAUUUACAAGCGUUGCACGGCUGUCUUCAGUUAAUGUCGUGAGACUUUGGUUAGAUCCAUUAAAUUAACGUAAACCCUUACUUUAUUUUAAUAUAAAGUAGUUCUCCACCAUAUUGGACAAGAUAACAGGGACUAAGACAAGUCAUCAUGGCC